rnacentral:rRNA from 1 species
GACGAGUGGCAAACGGGUGAGUAAUACAUCGGAACGUGCCCAGUAGUGGGGGAUAGCCCGGCGAAAGCCGGAUUAAUACCGCAUACGACCUACGGGUGAAAGCGGGGGACCGAAAGGCCUCGCGCUAUUGGAGCGGCCGAUGGCUGAUUAGCUAGUUGGUGGGGUAAAGGCCUACCAAGGCUACGAUCAGUCGCUGGUCUGAGAGGACGACCAGCCACACUGGGACUGAGACACGGCCCAGACUCC